UACAGAGGUCUCGAGCGUUAAUCGGAGUCACUGGGCUUAAAGGGUGCGUAGGCGGAUCCGCAAGUGCUUUGUGAAAUCCCAUGGCUUAGCCAUGGAAUGGCUUGGCAUACUGCGGAUCUUGAGGUCGGUAGAGGCUGCUGGAACUCUAGGUGGAGCGGUGAAAUGCGUAGAUAUCUAGAGGAACGCCGAUGGUGAAGACAGGCAGCUGGGCCGAUUCUGACGCUGAGGCACGAAAGCGUGGGGAGCGAACGGG
rnacentral:rRNA from 1 species